rnacentral:rRNA from 1 species
AGUGAACGCUGGCGGUAGGCCUAACACAUGCAAGUCGAACGGCAGCACAGGAGAGCUUGCUCUCUGGGUGGCGAGUGGCAGACGGGUGAGGAAUACAUCGGAAUCUACUUUUUCGUGGGGGAUAACGUAGGGAAACUUACGCUAAUACCGCAUACGACCUACGGGUGAAAGCAGGGGAUCUUCGGACCUUGCGCGAUUGAAUGAGCCGAUGUCGGAUUAGCUAGUUGGCGGGGUAAAGGCCCACCAAGGCGACGAUCCGUAGCUGGUCUGAGAGGAUGAUCAGCCACACUGGAACUGAGACACGGUCCAGACUCCUACGGGAGGCAGCAGUGGGGAAUAUUGGACAAUGGGCGCAAGCCUGAUCCAGCCAUACCGCGUGGGUGAAGAAGGCCUUCGGGUUGUAAAGCCCUUUUGUUGGGAAAGAAAUCCAGCUGGUUAAUACCCGGUUGGGAUGACAGUACCCAAAGAAUAAGCACCGGCUAACUUCGUGCCAGCAGCCGCAGUAA